CUCGCGAGGCUCCUCUGUCCAGGCAAGAAUACUGGAGUGGGUUGCCAUUUCCUUCUCCAGGGAUCUGGGGGGUCAAACCCGUGUCUCCUGCACAAGCAGGUGAAUUCUUAACCACUGAGCCACCCGUGAAGCCCUUCUGAGAAUAUCCCAUUGUAAACCACAGUAUUUUUUCCCAUGAACCUGUUGAUGGAUAUUUGAGUAACCUGCAAUUUUUGGCUAUUACAAAUAAAGCACUAUGAACACUGAUGUAUACACAUCUAUUUUUUUCCAGUAAAUACAUAAGGGUGGAAUUUCUGGGUCGUAAGUGUAUGUUUAACCUUAAACUUUUCUAAAAUAAUACCAUUUCACAUUCCCAACACCAAUGUAUGUGUGUUUCUGUUGCUUUAUAACCUUGGUAUUUUCAGUUUUUAAAAGUUUUGCCUGUCGAGUAGGCUAUUUUGUUAUCACACUGGUUUUCACUUGCAUUUCUCUUAAGUAUGUUUCCUAGUACCUAUAGUAUAUCUUUUGUGAAAUGUCUACUGAAAAAUAUUUUGCUCAUUUUAAAAAUGAAUUCUUGUUCUUCAUUUAAGAGGUCUUUUUUAUACACCUUGAGUACAAGUCUUUUGACAGCUAUUGCAAAUAUUUCUUCACAGUCUAGGAUCUUUAUCUUUUCUUUUGCAUUUUUCAACCUGCUGUAAAGACCAUAUAAAUUACACUCUUAAAAUUUCACUUGGUUCUUUCUUCUAUUUAGCACUUCUUCCCUUCUUAUGUUUACCCUCUAGAUCCUUGAAAGUAUUUAUGUUUUAGAGCAGGUGUCCCAAAGUUUCUAGGAUCUAAUGCCUAAGGAUCUGAAGUGGAGCUGAUAUAAUAAUAAUAAUAGAAAUAAAGGGCACAAUAAAUGUGUUUGAAUCAUCCUGAAACCAUCCCCUGCGAUCAGUGGAAAAAUUGUCUUCCAGGAAACUGAUCCCUGGUGCUAAAGAAACUGGGGACCACUGUUUAAGAGCACAUGACUAUUACUUCUGCCAUUUAUCUCUGUCAUUUCUGGAUCUAUUUUUCUUUUGUCAUGGGUUUCAUUUUCCCACUUCUUUACAUAUCUGUGACUGAGCUGAACACUCAUUUGUUGAGCGGAUUUUGUUUUAAGACAGCGUUGAAUGUUGAGGAGGUCUCUUUGGUUUUUAGAAGGCAGUUAAGUUUGUGAAUCAGCUUAUUCCUUUCAAGCCUUGUUUUUAAGUUGGGUCUCAUACUGACUAUUCCAAGGGCUAGUCUAGCCCACUCUUAAGGCAUGAUAUUCCACGGUCUCUUCUGGAUACUCCGGAUAUUCAGUGAGAUCCUUCCCCUGUGGCUGGUAAAAACUCCAAUGGCUCUCAGCCCUGUAUGACCUCUGGAAAUUGCUAGGCUGAUCCCCACUAGCUGUUCUUUGCUCAGUCUCUAAGUUUCACCAUGCCUGCUAAGUUGCUUCAGUUGUAUCUGACUCUGCGACCCCAUGGACUGUAGCCUGCCAGGCUCCUCUGUCUGUGGGAUUCUCCAGGCAAGAAUACUGGAGUGGGUUGCCAUUUCCUCCUCCAGGAGAUCUUGCCGACCCAGGGAUCGAACCCGGGUCUUCUACAUUGCAGGUGGAUUCUUUACUGUCUGAGCCACCAGGGAAGCCCAAAUUUCACCAUAUGGGGGCACAAUUCAGUGUUCAGCCCCAAAUCCAAGAGAACACUUGUGCAUAUUUCUCAAGAUCAUUCUGUGGCUCUUUUCUCCCUAGUGGUUUGAUGCAUAAAUUCCAACCACUUAAAUGUCCCUCUACCCUAAUCAACUCAGCAACACCACUGUCCUUUGAUUGAAUUUUCCUUCCUCGGAACCUCUGCAAACUGCCUUAAAGGCAGAAGUAGGGAAAAAUAUAAGGUUUGUUCGUUUCCCUUCUCCCAGGAAUCUGGCUUGUACUGCCUGCUGAACACUGUCUGAAAACACUUAUUUUACAUAGUUUGUCCAAUUUUCCAGUUCUUUAUGGAAGGAGAGCAAGUUCAGCACCAGUUACUCCAUAAUUGCUAGAUGUUCAAAUUAUCUAAUUUUUACAGUCUUAUUUUUUUUUUUUUUAGCAUACCUCAUAAUAUGAAGAGAAUCCUUCUGGUUGAGAACUAAAAAUUUUAAAGUGAGUGGAGUGGAAUGAAGCAACGAACAGAACAAAAAUUUCCUAACUCAAAACACAGUUAUUGUCUGUUGGAUUAAUCUAUUGGUUAUCACUAAGUUCAAAAUUCAAACCAGAUGCUGGGAAAGAUUGAAGGCAGGAGGAGAAGGGGAUGACAGAGGAUAAGACGGUUGGAU